AGCCGCCUCAGCCCCCUCAGGCGCAGUGUCCCGGCACUCCCCGGUCCGUGAGGCGCGCGCAGGUAAAAGGCGCUUUGGAGAAGCUCAAUAGAAGGUUGUGGAGUCGCUCUAGAGAAGAUUUUGGGCUGUUACAGGCGUAAUACAGUGUUCAGCAGCAGCGUCAGAAGGGCAGCACGGUCUUUCAGAGGAGUUAUUGAGGAAAAUACUUCUUGAACUUCGUCACCCUUGGUAAGAAGCUGUCGGAGAAGAAAGAAGAGACUGGAGUGCAACUUCGAGGCAAGAGCGAACAAGAAGAGCAGCAGCGUCAAGCUGAAGAGGGGGCAAAACAGAGACCCUCUGGGCAAAGGCCCCUCCCUUGGCAUCCCCGGGGCAGGGAUCCCAAAGAGUCCGGCGGGCAGCUUCUGGCUGCGCCGGCCGGCUUGGCGCUGGGCGGACCUCCCUGUAAGCAGGGCUGGGUCCUUUGCUUUGCUUGGCGUUGGCCUUUUGCCAUCGUGCUCCUGUGGCUGCCCGGAGAGAGGGGCAACCGCCCUGUAAGGAGGGCGAGAGUGCCCGCCUCCGCGCCCGAGGGGGGACACGGAGCUCUCCCGACCCCCGGCCCGCCCGCCCCGUAAGCGGGGCAGGGCUUUUUCCCUUGGCACCUUUGGUGCCUGCUGGCGGCCCCUGGCCAGAGUGACCCCCCGUAGUCAGGGUGUGUCACGGCCUGUGUCCCUUGCCCCUCAGCACGCCGAGGCCCUUCUGGCCCGUGCGCAGCCCGGGGCCACUAACGGGCUUCUCUCCGUCCUCGGGAACAGGGGGCGAGCCCGAGGCUCUCCUCCCCUGCUCGGCGGCAGGGCCGGCUCCCCACGGCUUGGCGCACAGAGCUUGCUCCCUCUUCUGGGACGUUCCCCCUUUGUGUCCUUGUCCCGUCGGUGUGAGUGAGCGAGCGAGCGAGCUGGUCCCUCCUGUAGCCCCCGUAGAGAUGUAGGCAGCGUAGCUUAGACUUCCCAGGAGGGAAAGAGGGGCUCUGGCCGGCUCCCCACGGCUUGGCGCACAGAGCUUGCUCCCUCUUCUGGGACGUUCCCCCUUUGUGUCCUUGUCCCGUCGGUGUGAGUGAGCGAGCGAGCGAGCUGGUCCCUCCUGUAGCCCCCGUAGAGAUGUAGGCAGCGUAGCUUAGACUUCCCAGGAGGGAAAGAGGGGCUCUGGCCGGCUCCCCACGGCUUGGCGCACAGAGCUUGCUCCCUCUUCUGGGACGUUCCCCCUUUGUGUCCUUGUCCCGUCGGUGUGAGUGAGCGAGCGAGCGAGCUGGUCCCUCCUGUAGCCCCCGUAGAGAUGUAGGCAGCGUAGCUUAGACUUCCCAGGAGGGAAAGAGGGGCUCUGGCCGGCUCCCCACGGCUUGGCGCACAGAGCUUGCUCCCUCUUCUGGGACGUUCCCCCUUUGUGUCCUUGUCCCGUCGGUGUGAGUGAGCGAGCGAGCGAGCUGGUCCCUCCUGUAGCCCCCGUAGAGAUGUAGGCAGCGUAGCUUAGACUUCCCAGGAGGGAAAGAGGGGCUCUGGCCGGCUCCCCACGGCUUGGCGCACAGAGCUUGCUCCCUCUUCUGGGACGUUCCCCCUUUGUGUCCUUGUCCCGUCGGUGUGAGUGAGCGAGCGAGCGAGCUGGUCCCUCCUGUAGCCCCCGUAGAGAUGUAGGCAGCGUAGCUUAGACUUCCCAGGAGGGAAAGAGGGGCUCUGGCCGGCUCCCCACGGCUUGGCGCACAGAGCUUGCUCCCUCUUCUGGGACGUUCCCCCUUUGUGUCCUUGUCCCGUCGGUGUGAGUGAGCGAGCGAGCGAGCUGGUCCCUCCUGUAGCCCCCGUAGAGAUGUAGGCAGCGUAGCUUAGACUUCCCAGGAGGGAAAGAGGGGCUCUGGCCGGCUCCCCACGGCUUGGCGCACAGAGCUUGCUCCCUCUUCUGGGACGUUCCCCCUUUGUGUCCUUGUCCCGUCGGUGUGAGUGAGCGAGCGAGCGAGCUGGUCCCUCCUGUAGCCCCCGUAGAGAUGUAGGCAGCGUAGCUUAGACUUCCCAGGAGGGAAAGAGGGGCUCUGUGUGCCAACCCGUGGGGAGUCAGCCCCGCUGCCG